GGCUCUAAGGGAUGUGACUGAAUGAUCAUCUAAUUCAGUGGUCACAUCCCUUAGAGCCACUGAAUUAGAUGAUCAUUCAGUCACAUCCCUUAGAG
rnacentral:pre_miRNA from 1 species